rnacentral:misc_RNA from 1 species
GAAAUGCGAUAAGUAAUGUGAAUUGCAGAAUUCAGUGAAUCAUCGAAUCUUUGAACGCACCUUGCGCCCUCUGGUAUUCCGGAGGGCAUGCCUGUUUGAGUGUCAUGAACACCUCACCCCCUCGGGUUUCCGAUCGGGUGGAUUUGGGUGCUGCCAGUUACAUGGCUCGCCUUAAAUGUAUUAGCGGUUGUUGACGUAAUAAGUUUCGUCUUGUCGACCGCUCCUAAUCUCCCUCAGGGGAUGUCUUUGGACACUUCAUGAUCUGACCUCAAAUCAGGUAGGACUACCCGCUGAACUUAA